GUAGAAACCAGGAGGCAAUGUGGAGAAAGGCAGAGGCACAGUUGCAAAUCAGAAUAAAAGCUUUGAUAUGAGGAAAUUCAAGUCUAAUUUGAUUGUGAAGCAAGUGGAAGGACCAGAGAAUGUUUACAAACAGAAAAAGAGCUCCAGGUAACUCAGUAAUAUAACAAGAACAACCCCAGAAAAUGACUUUCAUGGUAAAUGGUUAUUUUUAUUGUUUAAUUGCAUAACAUAAGUUAAUAAA